GGCUGCUGCUGAGACAGAAACUUAAAAUGGAUAAUAAGAGUGAAAAAAGCCCGGGUGGCGCUGAGAAGCAUCGAAAAAAAAAGCUGAAGUCUCUGGAGGUGGAGGCUGCUAAAUGUGCCAAACUGACGGACCUAUUUGGUACCGGGUUCACCAGCCCAGCAGCAGCAGGUGCGCCGGGAAACGAGCGAGGAGGACUCGACAAUGAUGAGCGAGUGGAGGCAGACAUGGUAAGUAACGUUGGCCUGGGGCUGGCUAGGCUACAUUUUUUAAACAUCUCCAAAACAAAGUAGAAAACGUUUUUGAUUUUGUUUUAAAAUGCCGAAUUGUGAUAUUAUGGGUUAUUAUUGUUCAGAUGAUUCAGCUAAGCUAGCUAAGAGCUGCAACAGUAAACUUUCUGAGCUGUAAAUAGAGAUGAGAGUGCUUAUGUGUUGAUCCUUAAUGGUGUGAUCAUGUACACUAAAUUAUCAAUUAUUCUCCAUUACAGGUUGUUGUGAUAUAUUUGAGGAGUCGUUCUCCCUCUGUUUUAUAUGUGGACAUUUGGGACCACUGUUAGAAUUUGGUUGACCACUUGACAUGUGAGAGCCUGAGGAGUUGUUCCCCCUCUGUCCAUGUUCGAGGACUUGCUCUCUGUCUGCCUCCACUCUCUGCCUUCACUGUACCAAAGUUUGUCUGUUGUGUCUCCUCUAGUCUGGUUGACCACUCGACAUGUGAGAGCCUGAGGAGUUGUUUUCCAGACACAGGUAGAGCUGGCAGGGGUGUCACCCUGGGCCUGCCCUUUUGGGCUGGGCUUCAGCUGCAGAUCUAAAGGCUGCUUCCAGGGGCAUGGGGCCCUCAGCCUUUGUUUUUCUUUGCUUCUGCACCUUACAACAUACAUCACACCUUAUUUUCACACAUCCAAACACUGUUAACAUCACUGACGCGUAACAUAUUUUACACAUCAAACUACGUAGUUAGAGCUAUCUUGAUUUGGAGUUAAAUAAAUGUACUUUUGGCUUGAGAGGUUUGUGUGUGGCCUCCCUUCUUGUUGCCAUCUUUGAGCUAGGUGGUAACAGUAGUAUGCAUGAGAGAAGACGCCGCGAGAUUUGUGGACUUCUAUGUGGUGUCCGCUGAUAAUGUAGUGGGCUGGUAUGGACAGACAAUGCCAGGGCUGAAUUUUUGUCCCAGUCCACCCCUGCUUGUAGCCCAUGUCCUGGAUACGUCAUGGCUCUUGAUGCACUGAAUCCAGCCUCAGUCCAGACCUUGUGAAUCUCCCCCAAUUCCUUGAAUGGCCUUGGCUUCACCAUCCUCUCAAGGCUGCGGUUAUCCCUGUUGCUUGUGCACCUUUUUCUACCACACUUUUUCCUUCCACUCAACUUUCUAUGAAUAUGCUUGGAUACAGCGAUCUGUGAACAGCCAGCGUCUUUAGCAAUGACCUUUUGUGGCGUACCCUCCUUGUCGAGCGUGUCAAUGACUGUCUUCUGGACAACAACUGUCAAGUCUGCAUUCUUCCCGAGGAUUGUGUGUCCUACUGAACCAGCCUUAGAGACCAUUUAAAGGCUCAGGAAACCU